GACGAACGCUGGCGGCGUGCUUAACACAUGCAAGUCGAACGGAAAGGCCUGCUUUCCCUUGUGGAUUGCGGGUACUCGAGUGGCGAACGGGCGAGUAACACGUGAGUGAUCUGCCCCCAACUUGGGUAUAAGCCUGGGAAACAGGGUCUAAUUCUCGAUAGGACUGCAGGGUGGUGCCUGUGGUGGAAAACGAUUUUCUAGUGGUUGGGGAUGAGCUCGCGGCCUAUCAGCUUGGUGGGGGGGUAAUGGCCUACCAAGGCGGCGACGGGUAGCCGGCCUGGGAGGGUGGACGGCCGCAUUGGGACUGAGACACGGCGCAGACGCCAGGGGGAAGCAGCAGAGGGGAAUAAUGCGCAGUGAGCGGGAGGCUGAUGCAGCGAGGCCGCGUGGGAGAUGACGGGCUUCGGAUUGUAGACUCCUUGCGACCGCGAGGAGGCCACGUGGUUGGAAGGGUGGUGACGGUAGUGGUAGAAGAAGCACCGGCUAACUACGUG
rnacentral:rRNA from 1 species